rnacentral:rRNA from 1 species
ACAGAGGGUGCAAACGUUGCUCGGAAUUACUGGGCGUAAAGCGCGUGUAGGCGGUUCGUUAAGUCGUCUGUGAAAGCCCAUGGCUCAACCAUGGAAGUGCAGCCGAUACUGGCGGACUUGAGUUCUGGAGAGGGUGGCGGAAUUCCCAGUGUAGAGGUGAAAUUCGUAGAUAUUGGGAGGAACACCGGUGGCGAAGGCGGCCACCUGGACAGAUACUGACGCUGAGACGCGAAAGCGCGGGUAGCAAACAG